rnacentral:misc_RNA from 1 species
AUGCAAGGCGUUCGCCGUUACUCGCCGUUAACUGACGGCGGCGGAGUAACGCUAGAACUCACCACAACCACCAAUUCGCCGCUAGCAAUCGACGUGACGGAAUCGACGGAGAUGAGAAUCCGGCGACUGAUCUCCGAGAAUCCCGUCGUGAUUUUCACCCGAUCCGGCUGCUGCAUGUGCCACGUCAUGAAACGGCUGUUAUUAUCCGCCGUUAGCGUUCACCCAACCGUUAUUCAAUUGGAAGAAGAAGAGAUCGCCGCCCUCCCUGCCGGCGCCGGAGACGGCGCGGAGGACGGCGGUGAGAUGCCGGCUAUGUACAUCGGAGGGACACGUGUCGGUGGAUUCGAAAGCCUCGUGGCACUUCACCUUAGUGGUGGCCUUGUUCCUAAGCUUGUGGAAGUUGGUGCUAUUACUGAAAUGGUAUUGUAAAGAAUUUUAAUUAUGUUUCUAUAUUUGUAAUUAUGUAUUUUAAUCAAAAUAAAAAAAAUAAUAAUUUUAGUAUAUUAGUAUUAAUUAAGUUUUAAGGUAUUGUUUAGUCUUCAUAAUUGUGCUUUUACAGGCUGUAAUCUCUCUAUUUUAUUCCAAAUGGCCAAAAAGUUGAAUAAAAAAGAAGAGGAUGUGCUACUUUUAUAUAUAAAA